rnacentral:rRNA from 1 species
GAUGAACGCUAGCGGCAGGCUUAACACAUGCAAGUCGAGGGGUAGAGUUCUUCGGAAUUUGAGACCGGCGCACGGGUGCGUAACGCGUAUGCAAUCUGCCUUCCACAGAGGGAUAGCCCAGAGAAAUUUGGAUUAAUACCUCAUAGCAUUACAGGAUGGCAUCAUCCGGUAAUUAAAGUCACAACGGUGGAAGAUGAGCAUGCGUCCCAUUAGCUAGUUGGUAAGGUAACGGCUUACCAAGGCGACGAUGGGUAGGGGUCCUGAGAGGGAGAUCCCCCACACUGGUACUGAGACACGGACCAGACUCCUACGGGAGGCAGCAGUGAGGAAUAUUGGUCAAUGGGCGCAAGCCUGAACCAGCCAUGCCGCGUGCAGGAUGACGGUCCUAUGGAUUGUAAACUGCUUUUGUACGGGAAGAAACACUGAUUCGUGAAUCAGCCUGACGGUACCGUAAGAAUAAGGAUCGGCUAACUCCGUGCCAGCAGCCGCGGUAAUACGGAGGAUCCAAGCGUUAUCCGGAAUCAUUGGGUUUAAAGGGUCUGUAGGCGGUCUUGUAAGUCAGUGGUGAAAGCCCAUCGCUCAACGGUGGAACGGCCAUUGAUACUGCAGGACUUGAAUUACCGGGAAGUAACUAGAAUAUGUAGUGUAGCGGUGAAAUGCUUAGAUAUUACAUGGAAUACCAAUUGCGAAGGCAGGUUACUACCGGUGGAUUGACGCUGAUGGACGAAAGCGUGGGGAGCGAACAGG